rnacentral:rRNA from 1 species
GUUAUAUGGUCAAGUGAAGAAGCGCAUACGGUGGAUGCCUUGGCAGUCAGAGGCGAUGAAAGACGUGGUAGCCUGCGAAAAGCUUCGGGGAGUCGGCAAACAGACUUUGAUCCGGAGAUGUCUGAAUGGGGGAAGGAUGCCUUGGCAGUCAGAGGCGAUGAAAGACGUGGUAGCCUGCGAAAAGCUUCGGGGAGUCGGCAAACAGACUUUGAUCCGGAGAUGUCUGAAUGGGGGAACCCAGCCAUCAUAAGAUGGUUAUCUUGUACUGAAUACAUAGGUGCAAGAGGCGAACCAGGGGAACUGAAACAUCUAAGUACCCUGAGGAAAAGAAAUCAACCGAGAUUCCCUUAGUAGUGGCGAGCGAACGGGGACUAGCCCUUAAGUGGCUUUGAGAUUAGCGGAACGCUCUGGAAAGUGCGGCCAUAGUGGGUGAUAGCCCUGUACGCGAAAAUCUCUUAGUCAUGAAAUCGAGUAGGACGGAGCACGAGAAACUUUGUCUGAAUAUGGGGGGACCAUCCUCCAAGGCUAAAUACUACUGACUGACCGAUAGUGAACUAGUACCGUGAGGGAAAGGCGAAAAGAACCCCGGAGAGGGGAGUGAAAUAGAUCCUGAAACCGUAUGCGUACAAGCAGUGGGAGCAGACUUUGUUCUGUGACUGCGUACCUUUUGUAUAAUGGGUCAGCGACUUAUUUUCAGUGGCGAGCUUAACCGAAUAGGGGAGGCGUAGCGAAAGCGAGUCUUAAUAGGGCGUCUAGUCGCUGGGAAUAGACCCGAAACCGGGCGAUCUAUCCAUGGGCAGGUUGAAGGUUGGGUAACACUAACUGGAGGACCGAACCGACUACCGUUGAAAAGUUAGCGGAUGACCUGUGGAUCGGAGUGAAAGGCUAAUCAAGCUCGGAGAUAGCUGGUUCUCCUCGAAAGCUAUUUAGGUAGCGCCUCAUGUAUCACUGUAGGGGGUAGAGCACUGUUUCGGCUAGGGGGUCAUCCCGACUUACCAAACCGAUGCAAACUCCGAAUAAGGUAGCGCCUCAUGUAUCACUGUAGGGGGUAGAGCACUGUUUCGGCUAGGGGGUCAUCCCGACUUACCAAACCGAUGCAAACUCCGAAUACCUACAAGUGCCGAGCAUGGGAGACACACGGCGGGUGCUAACGUCCGUCGUGAAAAGGGAAACAACCCAGACCGUCAGCUAAGGUCCCAAAGUUAUGGUUAAGUGGGAAACGAUGUGGGAAGGCUUAGACAGCUAGGAGGAGCUAACGUCCGUCGUGAAAAGGGAAACAACCCAGACCGUCAGCUAAGGUCCCAAAGUUAUGGUUAAGUGGGAAACGAUGUGGGAAGGCUUAGACAGCUAGGAGGUUGGCUUAGAAGCAGCCACCCUUUAAAGAAAGCGUAAUAGCUCACUAGUCGAGUCGGCCUGCGCGGAAGAUGUAACGGGGCUCAAACCAUACACCGAAGCUACGGGUAUCACGUAAGUGAUGCGGUAGAGGAGCGUUCUGUAAGCCUGUGAAGGAGCGCGGAAGAUGUAACGGGGCUCAAACCAUACACCGAAGCUACGGGUAUCACGUAAGUGAUGCGGUAGAGGAGCGUUCUGUAAGCCUGUGAAGGUGAGUUGAGAAGCUUGCUGGAGGUAUCAGAAGUGCGAAUGCUGACAUGAGUAACGACAAUGGGUGUGAAAAACACCCACGCCGAAAGACCAAGGUUUCCUGCGCAACGUUAAUCGACGCAGGAAUCAGAAGUGCGAAUGCUGACAUGAGUAACGACAAUGGGUGUGAAAAACACCCACGCCGAAAGACCAAGGUUUCCUGCGCAACGUUAAUCGACGCAGGGUUAGUCGGUCCCUAAGGCGAGGCUGAAAAGCGUAGUCGAUGGAAAACAGGUUAAUAUUCCUGUACUUCUGGUUAUUGCGAUGGAGGGACGGAGAAGGCUAGGCCAGCUUGGCGUUGGUUGUCCAAGUUUAAGGUGGUAGGCUGAGAUCUUAGGUAAAUCCGGGAUCUUAAGGCCGAGAGCUGAUGACGAGUGUUCUUUUAGAACACGAAGUGGUUGAUGCCAUGCUUCCAAGAAAAGCUUCUAAGCUUCAGGUAACCAGGAACCGUACCCCAAACCGACACAGGUGGUUGGGUAGAGAAUACCAAGGCGCUUGAGAGAACUCGGGUGAAGGAACUAGGCAAAAUGGCACCGUAACUUCGGGAGAAGGUGCGCCGGUGAGGGUGAAGGACUUGCUCCGUAAGCCCAUGCCGGUCGAAGAUACCAGGCCGCUGCGACUGUUUAUUAAAAACACAGCACUCUGCAAACACGAAAGUGGACGUAUAGGGUGUGACGCCUGCCCGGUGCCGGAAGGUUAAUUGAUGGGGUUAGCUAACGCGAAGCUCUUGAUCGAAGCCCCGGUAAACGGCGGCCGUAACUAUAACGGUCCUAAGGUAGCGAAAUUCCUUGUCGGGUAAGUUCCGACCUGCACGAAUGGCGUAACGAUGGCGGCGCUGUCUCCACCCGAGACUCAGUGAAAUUGAAAUCGCUGUGAAGAUGCAGUGUAUCCGCGGCUAGACGGAAAGACCCCGUGAACCUUUACUAUAGCUUUGCACUGGACUUUGAAUUUGCUUGUGUAGGAUAGGUGGGAGGCUUUGAAGCGUGGACGCCAGUCUGCGUGGAGCCAUCCUUGAAAUACCACCCUGGCAACUUUGAGGUUCUAACUCAGGUCCGUUAUCCGGAUCGAGGACAGUGUAUGGUGGGUAGUUUGACUGGGGCGGUCUCCUCCUAAAGAGUAACGGAGGAGUACGAAGGUGCGCUCAGACCGGUCGGAAAUCGGUCGUAGAGUAUAAAGGCAAAAGCGCGCUUGACUGCGAGACAGACACGUCGAGCAGGUACGAAAGUAGGUCUUAGUGAUCCGGUGGUUCUGUAUGGAAGGGCCAUCGCUCAACGGAUAAAAGGUACUCCGGGGAUAACAGGCUGAUACCGCCCAAGAGUUCAUAUCGACGGCGGUGUUUGGCACCUCGAUGUCGGCUCAUCACAUCCUGGGGCUGAAGCCGGUCCCAAGGGUAUGGCUGUUCGCCAUUUAAAGUGGUACGCGAGCUGGGUUUAGAACGUCGUGAGACAGUUCGGUCCCUAUCUGCCGUGGACGUUUGAGAUUUGAGAGGGGCUGCUCCUAGUACGAGAGGACCGGAGUGGACGAACCUCUGGUGUUCCGGUUGUCACGCCAGUGGCAUUGCCGGGUAGCUAUGUUCGGAAUAGAUAACCGCUGAAAGCAUCUAAGCGGGAAACUAGCCUCAAGAUGAGAUCUCACUGGAACCUUGAGUUCCCUGAAGGGCCGUCGAAGACUACGACGUUGAUAGGUUGGGUGUGUAAGCGCUGUGAGGCGUUGAGCUAACCAAUACUAAUUGCCCGUGAGGCUUGACCAUAUAACACCCAAGCAAUU